AUUGUACGCUGGCGGCAUGCCUUACACAUGCAAGUCGAACGGCAGCACGGGUGCUUGCACCUGGUGGCGAGUGGCGAACGGGUGAGUAAUAUAUCGGAACGUACCUUAUUGUGGGGGAUAACGCAGCGAAAGCUGUGCUAAUACCGCAUAAUCCCUAAGGUGGAAAGCGGGGGACCGUAAGGCCUCGCGCAAUUAGAGCGGCCGAUACCUGAUUAGCUAGUUGGGGAGGUAAAGGCUAACCAAGGCAACGAUCAGUAGCUGGUCUGAGAGGACGAUCAGCCACACUGGGACUGAGACACGGCCCAGACUCCUACGGGAGGCAGCAGUGGGGAAUUUUGGACAAUGGGGGCAACCCUGAUCCAGCAAUGCCGCGUGAGUGAAGAAGGCCUUCGGGUUGUAAAGCUCUUUUGUCAGGGAAGAAACAGCAGCUCUAACACAGUUUGCGAAUGACGGUACCUGAAGAAUAAGCACCGGCUAACUACGUGCCAGCCGCCGCGGUAA
rnacentral:rRNA from 1 species